GACGAACGCUGGCGGCGUGCUUAACACAUGCAAGUCGAACGGAAAGGCCCUGCUUUUGUGGGGUGCUCGAGUGGCGAACGGGUGAGUAACACGUGAGUAACCUGCCCUUGACUUUGGGAUAACUUCAGGAAACUGGGGCUAAUACCGGAUAGCAGCUCCUGCUGCAUGGUGGGGGUUGGAAAGUUUCGGCGGUUGGGGAUGGACUCGCGGCUUAUCAGCUGGUUGGUGGGGUAGUGGCUUACCAAGGCUUUGACGGGUAGCCGGCCUGAGAGGGUGACCGGCCACAUUGGGACUGAGAUACGGCCCAGACUCCUACGGGAGGCAGCAGUGGGGAAUAUUGCACAAUGGGCGGAAGCCUGAUGCAGCAACGCCGCGUGCGGGAUGACGGCCUUCGGGUUGUAAACCGCUUUCGCCUGUGACGAAGCGUGAGUGACGGUAAUGGGUAAAGAAGCACCGGCUAACUACGUG
rnacentral:rRNA from 1 species